ensembl:lncRNA
GUCACUUCAGAUGUCCAGUCAAAUCUUCAGGCCACUGAAACAUCUCCAUCUUAACCCCAAAAUCAGGCUACAUCUCCAGGUCAUAACCUGUCCGCUCCUCAAUGCCUGUUCUCUUCAAAUACAGCAUCCACAUCUGCCACAAAUCCCUCAACCUCCACAACAACAAAUCCCUUGUCUACGUCAGAUCAACUCCUCUCUGCAGAUGAUCAACAAAAAGACCUUGCAUCAGUUUUGACAGAAUUCAGACAAGACAAUUUAGACUUGACCACCACUGUCACCGUUGUGGCUCGCCGAAGGAAAAUAUUACAUAGUGCAUGUGUUGCACUUGAUAAAUCUUACUUUGACUGGCAUAAAAUGCCAAAUGUGGAAUUUGUUGGGAAGAUGGCAGACCACGACGAGAGUUUUUCAGACUUCUCAUGACAGAAGUGCAGGAAUCACUUGGUAUAUUUGAGGGAAGACCUGAGAAUCUGAUCUUUGCAUAUAAUCAACAAGCACUGUUGCAGAAUAAAUACUACACUGCUGGAAAACUCAUUGCAUGGUCCAUUGUGCACAAUGGACCUGGGAUCAGAUGUCUUAACCAGCAUCCUUUCAAACUAAUGUGUGACCAGAAAGCAGAUCUAAGCACAUUUAACACUGAAACAUUCCAAGAUGCAGAUUUGCAACACAGACUGAAAAAGGGUGGCCAGCAUGAUACAGCAGUUUGUUGCUGGGAUGGAUGCAUUUGGACAGCUGUGGCAAACAGUACAGAGGAACUGUAUUAACUUUAUGCCAAUGUUCACAUACACACAUGAAAAACUCUCCCGAAGUGAUAUUCGGGACAUGUUCAACAUCAGAUGGAGUCCACAAGGCUGCAAUAAUAGAGAGAGGGAGGAGGACACCAUCUUUCUCUGGGAGUGUUGGCUGAUGUCUAUUGAAAAUAAAGAGCUAGACAUUACCUUUGAAGAAAUUCUGAUCUUCGCAACGGGAGCUGAUUCUGUACUCCCUCUCGGUUUUCCACGAGAGUGUGAGAUCCAGUUCUAUGAUCAAGAGCCAGGAAGCCAGCAGAUUCCUUACUCCUCAACCUGUGCCCUUGUUCUGUAUUUGCCCAGAGGUAUUACAGAAGAAACUGAUUUUAAAGAGCUCAUGCUGCUGGCCUUAAAAUGCUCAUUUGGUUUUGGGAAGGCUUAAAUGUUGUAUGUGACAUUGCUGAUAUAAAUUUGAAUGUAAUUUUU